GAUGAACGCUGGCGGCGUGCCUAAUACAUGCCAGUCGAGCGAACGGACGAGAAGCUUGCUUCUCUGAUGUUAGCGGCGGACGGGUGAGUAACACGUGGAUAACCUACCUAUAAGACUGGGAUAACUUCGGGAAACCGUAGCUAAUACCGGAUAAUAUUUUGAACCGCAUGGUUCAAAAGUGAAAGACGGUCUUGCUGUCACUUAUAGCUGGAUCCGCGCUGCAUUAGCUAGUUGGUAAGGUAACGGCUUACCAAGGCAACGAUGCAUAGCCGACCUGAGAGGGUGGUCGGCCACACUGGAACUGAGACACGGUCCAGACUCCUACGGGAGGCAGCAGUAGGGAAUCUUCCGCAAUGGGCGAAAGCCUGACGGAGCAACGCCGCGUGAGUGAUGAAGGUCUUCGGAUCGUAAAACUCUGUUAUUAGGGAAGAACAUAUGUGUAAGUAACUGUGCACAUCUUGACGGUACCUAAUCAGAAAGCCACGGCUAACUACGUG
rnacentral:rRNA from 1 species